GCUCCGGUGGCCUGAGUGGUUAAAGCUUCCAUAUCGGAUGCGGGAGGUCGCGGUUUAGAACCCCGGCCGAAUCA